UCUCACUGUCAGAAAGGCAUUCAGUGUGUUUGACAUUAAGGGUGGCGGAAUGUUUGUGUAAUUAUGAAUGUUAGACUUGCAAACACGCCUUUUGAUUGCAACAGCCUGAACUUCCACAUGUCAAUGGGAAUAUAACUUUUCACGAGAUAAACCUUGGUUUAUGUACCUUGGCAUCGUCACUGUUCAUUUCUAUAUUAUUUCAGUGUGUAUAUCUUUAAAUUGGAUCUGGAUUUUACAUGUACGCACAUUUCAGAUGAGAUGUGGAUAUAAUCUGAAAGAAUUGCCUAAGAACUUGAGGAUGGGACUGAGGAAGUGGAGUGGCUGCAGUCCUUAUCUGAUCUGAGGAGGAGGAAAGGAAUCGAACUGAAGUGGCCAUCAUGUCAUGUGAGGGAUUAUACAUCAGGAAUAUUUGCUAAAAUAUGGAAUGUGAUGAAGGAAGGGCUGUAGAGUGAGAUGGCAGCUUUCUGGAAGACAGCUAGUUUGGCAAGUUGCAUGAUAAGACUGCAAAUGACUGAAGAGUGAAACACAACAAGGCAUAUGGACAAGCAGGACUGGGAAGGCUUGUUUUGUUAAGUGAACUCUCUUUUCUCCAAACUUCACUAUUUGUGUAUCAAAAAGGUUGUGUUGCUUUUUUUUUUCCCCCCCACACCGCUUCCUGGUGACUUUCUGUUGGUUUACAGUCUGUGCGCUCAGUCAGGACUCAUUUUUAAUCUCUGUUGCCUUGUGUGCACCCAGAUCUGUGCUGCCACCAACGUAUUUCCUCCUUCUGGCAAGGACACCUAACUCAGAAGGCACCACACUCACAAAUUAACAGCACAAGUGCUUCAGCUUAAAGUUCUGCAGUGCCUAGGUGGUCAGUAUCUGAAUUAGUCAGUAUCAUUCGGGUUAGCUGUGUAGAAGCACCAAAGGAACAGAGAAUUACAUGGCAAAACUCAGCAAGAUGAAUGGAGAGCUGCUAGAAAUAUACCUGGAAAAGGACUUAAGCUUAGGGAGUGCCUCAAGUUGUGUGAUUGUCUGAGACUCAGAUACCACAGUACCCUUCAGCUUUCCUGAAAUUACCAAUACAGUCUUUUUUUGUUCAAAAUCCCUUACUGUUGUGUUCCUUGCCUGCCACUCCCAGCAUGUGCUAUGCACUAGCUCAGCAGUUAAAUGGCAGCAGACUUGUGCUCAGUUUCUUCCUCUGCCUGAGGGAGCACUAAUCAGUGUCUCUCAUCUUCCAGGAAAGUAUCCUGGCUAUGAAAUACUCUGAAGUGGAAUGGUUGCUGUGUCUCCUUUUGAAGGAAAGGCUGUGAGACCUGCAGCUGUUCAGCCUGUUGAAGAGAAGACUGAGAGAGGAUCUUACCAAUGCUAAUAAAUAUGUAAAAGAUGGUUGGGCCAGACUCUUUUCAGUCGUGCCCAGCAACAGGACAAGAAACAAUGAGCACUAACUGGAACACAAGGCCCCAUCUGGAGUACUGCAUCCAGGUCUGGGGCUUGCAACACUGAAAAGAUGUGGAGCUGUUGGAACGGGCCUGGAGAAAGCCAUGAAGAUGAUCAGAGGCGUGGAGCACCUCUCCUAUGAAGAAAAGCUGAGGGAGCUGGGCUUGAUCAGUCUGCAGAUGAGAAGGCUCAGGGGAGACCUCACUGUGGCCUUCCAGUACUUAAAAGUUUGCUUAUAAGCAAGAAGAAAA
ensembl:lncRNA